rnacentral:lncRNA from 1 species
CUUGGACUAGAUAUGGACUUAGCAAGUUAAUGUCAUAAAGGGGCAUUAGGCUUGGAAUAUGUGUGGACUUGGUAAACCUAAUGUCAUAAAGUGGCAUUAGCGUUGGAACAAGAUUUUGGCAUAGUGUGAUAUAAUGCCAUAAAGGGGUAUUGGACAUAAUGAAUGGUUAAACCUUCACUUGGGACAUUGGACUAGACCUAUGAGUUGCUAGCGAUCUUUUCCAUGGUAGAGCCAUGAUGACCGGAUCGUUGAGACGAUGACUUUGCUUGCUUGCCAUUUGUGCUCAUUCGCACAUGCUUGUGAGGGUCGCUCCCUACAAGCCGGCACUUCGGAGUUGGCCUUUUUGCGACGCAGUUUCCGAGUGCGGGAUUGAGACGCCUGUAGGGUCGCGUGGGACAGCCUUAUUCCAGCUUGGGAUGAUGUGCUACCACGGGCAGCUAGGCGGCGAGGCGCCUGUAGGGUCGUGUAGGACAGUCCUGUUCCUCGAGGGGG